GGGUGCUCUGGAUCUUUCUGUCCCGAGCAUGAGCGUUUAUUGUUAGAUAAUUGUGCCUGUGGCAGAAAGAGAAAGACCCCGAGUUAAUGUUAAUCAACCGAGGUCUAUCUGCAUGCAUGAGAAACAUCAGGUUAGCCUCUUACCCGCCGAAAGGCAAGGACAAGGGGGCAAUGAUG
rnacentral:antisense_RNA from 1 species